rnacentral:lncRNA from 1 species
AGAAUCAUUGCAUCGAUACAUACACAUUCAGGACAUAGGAAUUGGUUCACGAAACAACAAAAGGCUUCAGUCCAAAAUCAAGCUAUACAUAGACCAAAAGGCUUUAGUCCAAAAGCAAGCCAAGACUAUCCAUUGUAAUAUAACAAAUACAAUAACCAGGUCAUGGCAUGUGUUGAUCAAGCAAGAUGCAAUGCGAGAUAAUAAAACUUCUUAGUUAGGUUAUUAUAGCCUAAUACUUGAUAGCUCGACCGGGUUGUCUCCUUGAUUAAAUCGUUACACGUCACGACCUUUGCGCUUUAGUGCCUCUCCGAAGAAAGUCACAGAAUACCUCAUGUUCGCGCCCUUGACUCUGCCUUCUCAACACGAAAGAAAUGACGGAAGCACUUGUCGUGGCUAGUUACCGUGAAGGAAGAAUGGUGUUGCGGGGUGACCAGUCCGUCGCCGCCGCCGCUUGCCUGGUAUGACUCAUGAGAUAGGAUACAUGAAUUAAGCCACAAUCAACAUCAUUGUUUUGUUUUCAAAUUCAGGGGCAGCAAGCAAAGCAAUAUUAAUUCUCUCCGAGAUGGACAUGUUCUCAUGUUCUAUCUAUUAGUAUAGUUAUCCAAGGAAAUCCUAGGAAUAACAGAUGGACAUGGAUAAUUUAAUAAACAACAAUGAACAAUGAAUUUAUGAACAAAGUGGAGCAGUAUUACUGAGCAAUAAAUUUCUUGAAAAACCAAAGUGAAGGUACUGAGAGAGAACUCUAACAUCACAGUAAGCCAAAACUGCUUGAACUGAACAUAUUUAAUUAACUAAAAAAAUGUAAAGGCAUGUCUGAUCCUACUACUAUCCAAUUGAGGAACUGACACUAUUUCCCUAGUCCCCACAGCAAACACAACACCCACAUCCAAUUCUGGAAGAUUCAUUUUAAUUAUUUUUCAUGCUUUAUCCCUUAAAUAUACUAAAAAGAUGAGAACUGGAGAAGUCCCUGCUCCAUCAGUCAGGAUCUCAAGUUCUUUUUGUUGCUGUCGGGAUCCUAAGUUAGGUAGUAGUACUUGUGUACCAUCCAAUUGGCUCGCUCAGCUUGAAUAAUCAAUAUUUGUUUAAAGGUUUUGCUAUAUACUGCUCGACUAAAAUAUCGAUCGGUGGUGUUCAUACAGGUUUUGUUUUUCGUUCAUAAAUGGUUAAGAAAGAAAGUGACAUAUGUGGCUAAUCAUAUCCUUGGUAUUUUUUUUAAAUCACCUGGGAGACAUAUAUCAAAUUUGAUUUAUACUUACUAUUUUCAUAGAUCAACGUGGAUGUGAGACCAUCUUCUUCAAGCUCUGAAAGCUGUCUCCUGCAGGGCUCCUUCCUCGUCAUCACUUUGCGGGUGCCCUCCAUUCUUUUCAUCACCAGCUUCAUUUUUCAACCUCAUCCCCUCUUCCCAAAUAUGAAGAAAAAUGCCCGCAAUGCUAGCGCAACCUGCGCAGAAUCAACUGAAAUGUAUGAGCAAGAUACAGCACACCCAAGUUUUAGUAAGCUAAGAAUGAAAUAAUGUAUGUUUUGUCAAGCUAGCAAAAAUAGUAAAUCAUUCCAGCUAGUGUUUUUAUUUCCAUUCAUGAGUAGUUGACACCAAGUUAUCUUUUCUCUUUCUUGGUGUGAGACUGCACCUACAUAUUCAAUUUUCUGUCGAGCUCAUGUAGGAAUCUGAGUAUGUAGGUAACUAACACCAAGACUAUCUUUUCUCUUUCUUUGUUUGAGACAGCACCUACAUAUGGGCCGCUGCCUUAAUGUUUGGUCAAGUGAUGUACACACUAAAUUUGUUUGCUGAAGCCACUACCGAAGCUCACUAUUUGAUAAUAUGAACAGAAAGAAUCAUAUAGUUCAAAUUAUGUUUCGACUGGAUUAGGAAGCAGAGGAAUAUAUCAUAUUGAGGGAAUGUAAAAGCAUUACUUGCACGAUGGAAGCGAUGAAGAAAUACUUGCUAGUGUUUGCAAAACCAGUUCAACUUCGCUGCCAUCUAUUUUCACUUAUCCAGAGACAGAACCAAGCACCCAGAGUUGUUCUGCAUCAAAGGAAAUAAAUGACAUAGUGAUACAGGUAUCCCCUUGACCCAGUACUUCGACGAAAAGCAUACAAAUGUGGAUAGUAAUCUGACACUGAAAAAAUUCAUAGAAAUUAAGCAGGUAAAGAAUAAUAUGGGAAACCAAACAUAAUCUUUACUUGUGUUUUCUAUAAAAAUGGCUAAAAAUUCAUAGCAAUUAACAGUGAGGGAUACACUAAUGAGGGAACUCUUAAAAUGAAUAAAUCACCUCACAUAAUCUUUACUUGUGUGUUUCUAUAAAAAAACAAUCUGUACUUAUUAGUUAAAGGCCUUCACAAUAUAGUCC